GACGAACGCUGGCGGCGUGCUUAACACAUGCAAGUCGAACGGAAAGGCCUAGCUUGCUGGGUACUCGAGUGGCGAACGGGUGAGUAACACGUGGGUGAUCUGCCCCUGACUUUGGGAUAAGCCUGGGAAACUGGGUCUAAUACCGGAUAUUCAUUUUUCCUCGCAUGGGGAUUUGUGGAAAGCUUUUGCGGUUGGGGAUGGGCCCGCGGCCUAUCAGCUUGUUGGUGGGGUAAUGGCCUACCAAGGCGACGACGGGUAGCCGACCUGAGAGGGUGAUCGGCCACACUGGGACUGAGACACGGCCCAGACUCCUACGGGAGGCAGCAGUGGGGAAUAUUGCACAAUGGGCGCAAGCCUGAUGCAGCGAUGCCGCGUGAGGGAUGACGGCCUUCGGGUUGUAAACCUCUUUCAGCUCCGACGAAGCGCAAGUGACGGUAGGAGCAGAAGAAGCACCGGCCAACUACGUG
rnacentral:rRNA from 1 species